AACAAACGCUGGCGGCGUGCCUAAUACAUGCAAGUCGAACGGGGAAAGUAGCAAUAUGAGUACUAGUGGCGCACGGGUGAGGAAUACAUGGAUAAUCUGCCUUAAAGUGGGGGAUAACCUUCCGAAAGGAAGGCUAAUACCGCAUAAGACCACAAGAUCUGCGGAUCAAGGGGUAAAAGGUUUUUCGCUUUAAGAUGAGUCCAUGUGGGAUUAGCUAGUUGGUGAGGUAAUGGCUCACCAAGGCAGUGAUCCCUAGCUGGUCUGAGAGGAUGAUCAGCCAAACUGGAACUGAGACACGGUCCAGACUCCUACGGGAGGCAGCAGUAGGGAAUAUUGCGCAAUGGAGGAAACUCUGACGCAGCGACGCCGCGUGAGUGAUGAAGGCCUUCGGGUCGUAAAGCUCUGUCGCAGGGGAAUAACACUAUGAAUGUACCCUGAAAGAAAGGAUCGGCUAACUUCGUGCCAGCAGCCGCGGUAA
rnacentral:rRNA from 1 species